UGUCGGUUUCUUUUACAACUAGAAUAGACUUCUUCAGAUAUCUCAGUCAGUCAUAUUCCAUAUUCCUAUAAUAACCUGAUAUUUAUCUACUGAUAACAUACUAUAAUCUCAAAAUGGAAACUGGACCUGUUGUUCAACCACAGCCAAAACUUGGAAUCUUUUUUUUUUGUCUGUGUUCAUUUAUUGUCAUCAAAGAAGUGUUUAGGGGUGCAAAGAGGAUGUUGAAGUACAUGUUCAGCUCAGUCCCAAUACCCCCAAAACGUGAGGCAGGACCUGCUCCAAAAAUCAAAGUCCAAACUCGCAAGCCAGGACCUGUAGAAGUAUGAGAUUUUACAGAAAUAAUUAUUUCUGUUACUUUGCAUUUCAUAUCGUAAUUGUCUAAUAGAAGUUAUAUAAAAUCAAUUUUAUAAAAUUUUUGAAUGUCAUUUUUACAUAUGUACAUGGAAUAUGGUUUUUCAUUCCAUGAUAACUGUAAUAUAAAUGUAAUGAAUAUCAGAAAUUAAAAAAUUAUCGUUAUUUCAUUGUUUGAUUAUGUUAACAGAACUAAAUCCCUAAAAAAUAAAAUAAAUGUUUGUAUGAAACUGUUGGAUUCAUUGAAAUGCAGUUCAGAAAAUUAUACGUUACAGUGAUAACGUUUUUUUCAUGCAUUUUUUUAAAUGCAUAUGUUGUUCUUUGUGAAUAAUAUUUCAGAUUAGACAUAUUCAAUGCAAUAAUUAUGUCUUCUAAAAUAUAACAUAUUUUUUCAUAACAUCUAAACUUUAGUAUAAUAAUGAUAUUUUGAAAACAUUAUUCAUGCUAAAUAAUGUAAAGUCGAGCAGUAGGGAGAGGUGAUGAAAAAACAUUUCGAAUUAUAAAUUAAUCAAGAGAAGACACAAAAUAACCAAAAUAUAUCUUCGAAAAAAGCGGCAACAAAGUUGUUUACUUACUGGAGAAAUGAAUAAAAUCCAGUCUUAUUGAAAAACUUCUACAUUGUUUCAUUGCCACGAGUAUUUGAGUUGGUCUUCAGGCACUUUCUCAAACUGGAAGUUACAAUGGCAUUUUACCGAACUCAGAUAAGUCGAUUCGAUUCAAGUUUUCAACCCCAAGAGUGGAACUCUUCAGAAAGACUUUGUGAGGCUGAAAAAUGUUUCGGACGUAAUUUCCGCUGCAUGAAUAAAACUGAAAAAAAUGUUUACUGAAAUUUAACGCAUGAUAUGGUCGGACACAUCGACAAAGCAUUUUGAAAUGAAGAGAAUGAUGAUGAGGAGAGAUAUUUUAUGUAGUUAUGGAGGUGUGAAUCGAACACGUCCUGGACUUCAACCGCUUCAUAUCUAUGUUUGAGAAUACAUGAAGGAUGAAAGAUACUUCAGUUCAGUGCAAACUAGAAAAGAGCUAGUUCCCCAAAUUCAGAAUGCUACGAAUAGUCAGAAUUCAAUAUUGUUCGAACUAUGAUCGUUGUCUUGAUAUUAAGGUAUGUAGAAUGCGUGAAGGUUGUUGAUCAAAAUAUUAUUCAUCAGAUCAAUCUUUUUAAUUGUUAAUUAUUCCUCACUUUUUCUGUGCAUAUUUAUAAAUCAGGGAAAUGAGAGCCUGUACUGCAAUUUGAUUUGAUAUUUGAGCAUAAUUGAAACGAGUUUUUGUAAUAACUAUAUUAUAAAUGUUAAUAUUAUUUAA